AGAGAGAGAGAAGGGGACAGAAAAAAUACUCGAAGAGAUAAUAGCUGAAAACUUUCCUAACAUGGGAAAGGAACCACUCACUCAAAGACAGGAAGUGCAACAAGUACCAUAUAAAAUAAACCCAAGGAGGAAUACAUCAAGACACAUAUUGAUCAAACUGACCAAAAUUAAAUACAAAGAGAAAAUUUGAAAGCAGCUAGGGAAAAGAAACAAAUAACAUACAAGGGAACCCCAAUAAGGUUAUGGGCAGAUUUUUCAGCAGAAACUCUUCAGGCCAGGAGGGAGUGUCAUGAUAUACUAAACGUGAUGGAAGGAAAAAAAACCUCCAACCAAGAUUACUUUACCCAGCAAGGCUCUCAUUCAUAUUUGAAGGAGAAAUCAAAAGCUUCACAGAUAAGCAAAAGCUAAGAGAAUUCAGCAACAGCAACACUAAACUAGCUUUAAAACAAAUACUAAAGGAACUUCUCUAGGCAGAAAAGAGAAGGCCACAACAGGAAACAAAAAUACCACAAAUGACAAGGCUCACCAGUAAAGGUAUACAUACAGUAAAGGUCAGAAAUCAUCCACACACAAUUAUGCCAACAAAAUCAGAAAUCACAAGAAGUGGUGGGUACAAAUGCAGGACACUGGAGAUGCACUUGCAAUUAAGAGACCAACAACUGAAAACAAUCUCAUAUAAGUAUAGAUUCUUAUAUCAAAACUUUAGAAAAACUGCAAACCAAAAAUCUACAAUUGAUACACAAACAAAUAAGAAAAAUCAACUCAAAUACAACACUAAAGAUAGUCAUCAAACCAGAAGAGGAGAGAACAAGAGAAGAAGGGAAGAAAAAAGAGCAACACAAACAAAUCCAAAGCAAUUAAUAAAAUGGCAAUAAGAACAUACAUAUCAAUAAUUACCUUAAAUGUUAAUGGACUAAACACCCCAACCAAAAGACAGAGACUGGCUGAAUGGAUACAAAAACAAGAUCCAUAUAUAUGCUGUCUUCAAGAGAUCCACUUCACCUCUAGGGACACAUACAAAUUGAAAGUGACAGGAUGGAAGAAAAUAUUCCAUGCAAAUGGGAAUCAAAAGAAAGCUGGAGUAGCAAUACUCAUAUCAGACAAAAUAGACUUUAAAAUGAAGAAUAUUUUAAGGGACAAGGGAGGUCACUAUAUAAUGAUCAAAUGAUCAAUCCAAGAAGAAGAUAUAACAAUUUUAAAUAUCUACACACCCAACAUAGGUUCACCACAAUAUAUAAGGCAACUGCUAACAACUUUAAAAGGACAAAUAAACAAUAACACAAAAAUAAUGGGGGACUUUUAACACCCCACUUACAGUAAUGGACAGAUCAUCCAGACAGAAAAUCAAUAAGGAAACACAGGCCCUGAAUGAAGCAUUAGACCAGAUGGACUUCAUAGAUAUUUAUAGGACAUUACAUCCAAAAGCAACAGAAUACACAUUCUUCUCAAGUGCACAUAGAAAAUUCUCUAAGAUUGAUCACAUCCUGGGCUACAAAUCCAACCUCGGUAACUUUAAGAAAAUUGAAAUCAUAUCAAGCAUCUUUUCUGACCACAAUGCUAUACAACUGGAAAUCAA
rnacentral:lncRNA from 1 species